UACGUAGGGUGCGAGCGUUGCCCGGAUUUAUUGGGCGUAAAGGGCGCGUAGGCGGCCACGCACGUCCGUUGUGAAAUCGCCCGGCUCAACUGGGCGGGGUCGGCGGAUACGGCGUGGCUGGAGCAAGCCUAGGGGGCAAUGGAAUUCCCGGUGGUAGUGGUGGAAUGCGUAGAUAUCGGGAGGAACACCAGUGGCGAAGGCGGUUGCCUGGAGCUUUGCGUGACGCUGAGGCGCGAAAGCGUGGGGAGCGAUCCGG
rnacentral:rRNA from 1 species